CCCAGUUCUUCCGGUGUCUGUGUGUGAGGCUGGACAGGAGAAGGGAUCACUUCCCAUCUGCUUACCAGUAACCUCUCACAGAGGAAAUGCCUUGCAGGAGGAUCAGGGGAAGCUUUAUCUGAUACACACUACAUACACAGUGUAUAACUAGUCCUGCAGCUCUAAUAUCAUCAAGCGGACUGGUCUAGGAAAGACAUAGGAAUGAAAUUACUUUGCAAAUAACCAUUCAAACAGGGGGGAAAAACACUCAAAG